AUUGAACGCUGGCGGCAUGCUUUACACAUGCAAGUCGAACGGUAACAGGGAGCUUGCUCCGCUGACGAGUGGCGAACGGGUGAGUAAUGCGUCGGAACGUGCCGAGUAGUGGGGGAUAACGCAUCGAAAGGUGUGCUAAUACCGCAUACGUACUGAGGUAGAAAGUGGGGGACCUUCGGGCCUCACGCUAUUCGAGCGGCCGACGUCUGAUUAGCUAGUUGGUGAGGUAAAGGCUCACCAAGGCGACGAUCAGUAGCGGGUCUGAGAGGAUGAUCCGCCACACUGGGACUGGGACACGGCCCAGACUCCUACGGGAGGCAGCAGUGGGGAAUUUUGGACAAUGGGCGCAAGCCUGAUCCAGCAAUGCCGCGUGCAGGAAGAAGGCCUUCGGGUUGUAAACUGCUUUUGUACGGAACGAAACGGCUCUCGCUAAUACCGGGGGCUAAUGACGGUACCGUAAGAAUAAGCACCGGCUAACUACGUGCCAGCCGCCGCCGUAAAAC
rnacentral:rRNA from 1 species